UACGUAGGGGGCAAGCGUUGUCCGGAUUUAUUGGGCGUAAAGAGCGUGUAGGCGGCCAUGUAGGUCCGUUGUGAAAACUCGAGGCUCAACCUCGAGACGCCGAUGGAAACCAUGUGGCUAGAGUCCGGAAGAGGAGAGUGGAAUUCCCGGUGUAGCGGUGAAAUGCGCAGAUAUCGGGAAGAACACCCGUGGCGAAGGCGGCUCUCUGGGACGGUACUGACGCUGAGACGCGAAAGCGUGGGGAGCGAACAGG
rnacentral:rRNA from 1 species